rnacentral:tRNA from 1 species
GGUCUCGUGGUCUAAAGGCUAUGAUUUCUCGUUUACAGUGGACUCUUACUUCUGUAAGUCCCGAGAAGGUUCCGUGUUCGAUCCACGGCGUGACCA